AGAGUUUGAUUAUGGCUCAGGAUGAACGCUGGCGGCGUGCUUAACACAUGCAAGUCGAACGAGGUCCAACCUUCGGGUGAAGACCGAGUGGCGAACGGGUGAGUAACACGUGGGGAACCUGCCCUUCUCUCUGGGAUAACCUCGGGAAACCGAAGCUAAUACCGGAUACUCCUUGCGGACCGCAUGGUCUGCUCGGGAAAGCUCCGGCGGAGAAGGAUGGCCCCGCGGCCCAUUAGCUUGUUGGUGGGGUAACGGCCCACCAAGGCGACGAUGGGUAGCCGAGCUGAGAGGCUGAUCGGCCACACUGGGACUGAGACACGGCCCAGACUCCUACGGGAGGCAGCAGUGGGGAACCUUGCGCAAUGGGCGAAAGCCUGACGCAGCAACGCCGCGUGCGGGAUGAAGGCUCUCGGGUCGUAAACCGCUUUCAGCAGGGAUGAAAAUGACAGUACCUGCAGAAGAAGCCCCGGCUAAAUACGUGCCAGCAGCCGCGGUAAUACGUAUGGGGCAAGCGUUAUCCGGAUUCAUUGGGCGUAAAGCGCGCGUAGGCGGCUUGUUAAGUCAGGCGUGAAAUCCGGGGGCUCAACCCGCGGCUUGCGUCUGAAACUGGCAGGCUUGAGUCUGGUAGAGGAAAGUGGAAUUCCUGGUGUAGCGGUGAAAUGCGCAGAUAUCAGGAGGAACACCAGUGGCGAAGGCGGCUUUCUGGGCCACGACUGACGCUGAGGCGCGAAAGCUAGGGGAGCGAACAGGAUUAGAUACCCCUGGUAGUC
rnacentral:rRNA from 1 species